rnacentral:rRNA from 1 species
AGUGAACGCUGGCGGUAGGCCUAACACAUGCAAGUCGAACGGCAGCACAGUAAGAGCUUGCUCUUACGGGUGGCGAGUGGCGGACGGGUGAGGAAUACAUCGGAAUCUACUUUUUCGUGGGGGAAACGUAGGGAAACUUACGCUAAUACCGCAUACGACCUACGGGUGAAAGCAGGGGAUCUUCGGACCUUGCGCGAUUGAAUGAGCCGAUGUCGGAUUAGCUAGUUGGCGGGGUAAAGGCCCACCAAGGCGACGAUCCGUAGCUGGGCUGAGAGGAUGAUCAGCCACAUUGGAACUGAGACACGGUCCAGACUCCUACGGGAGGCAGCAGUGGGGAAUAUUGGACAAUGGGCGCAAGCCUGAUCCAGCCAUACCGCGUGGGUGAAGAAGGCCUUCGGGUUGUAAAGCCCUUUUGUUGGGAAAGAAAAGCAGCAGGUUAAUACCCCGCUGUUCUGACGGUACCCAAAGAAUAAGCACCGGCUAACUUCGUG